CACACAUGCUGUAAACUGAUUUUAGCUCAAUAUAAUGUGACGUCUCUCGCUUUUGAUAAGGGUUCUCCUCUCGGCCGGAGGCUGUCAAAUGAUAAGCAGCAGACAAGCCCAAUAAAAGGGAUAUAGGUGGAGCGAAUAGCGAAUUGUUAUUAUUACAACACUUGCCCGGGAAAGCAGGGUUCGAGUUACACAAAAACAAGGCACGCACGAAUGCCUUUCCAAUUAAAAAUUCAAAAACCUUUUUUCAGCCACUCACCAAAUUGGCGAAUUACGUGCCAAACUGAAAGACAGAAGGUUCCCAGCUCGAACGAUGAAUUAUUUAUAGAUAUAUGGCUUCUAUAAGGACACGCAUUAUCACAAUUAUAUCGCAAUGGAUGGGAUCAAUGCAGAGAUAAAAAACAAAUCAAAGUAUGCAUAUACAUACGCCAGUCUUAUGAACAAAUAUACAAGUAUACUUCAAACCGCCUUUGCAAAUUGCACUAAGUAAUAGUUCAUGAUCAUGAUGGAAUUUUCCCCUAAAAUGCUGGGCCUUAUUAGUUAGACUGUUAAUCGUUUUGGGGCAGCAGCAAAACUCUCCCCGGGGCACAUUUAACUAAAGCACAGCCAAGGACAGCAUUGAUGGAGAGCUGGAAGGAUGGGAGGGUCCUGCCGAAGGAUGUGAGGUGGCGACUAUGCCGGCCGAACUGACUGCUCGUGGCAAUUAUAAAUUGUUGAAAAUAAUUUCAUUAAAUAUGUAAAAAGGCGACGCCGAAUAGAGAAGCGUAUUAAAGGACGGCCGUGGGAUC